rnacentral:rRNA from 1 species
GUAGGGAAUAUUCCACAAUGAGCGAAAGCUUGAUGGAGCGACACAGCGUGCACGAUGAAGGUCUUCGGAUUGUAAAGUGCUGUUAUAAGGGAAGAACACUACAUUGAGGAAAUGCUUUGUAGCUGACGGUACCUUGUCAGAAAGCGAUGGCUAACUAUGUGCCAGCAGCCGCGGUAAUACAUAGGUCGCAAGCGUUAUCCGGAAUUAUUGGGCGUAAAGCGUUCGUAGGCUGUUUAUUAAGUCUGGAGUCAAAUCCCGGGGCUCAACCCCGGCUCGCUUUGGAUACUGGUAAACUAGAGUUAGAUAGAGGUAAGCGGAAUUCCAUGUGAAGCGGUGAAAUGCGUAGAUAUAUGGAAGAACACCAAAGGCGAAGGCAGCUUACUGGGUCUAUACUGACGCUGAGGGACGAAAGCGUGGGGAGCAAACAGGAUUAGAUACCCUGGUAGUCCACGCUGUAAACGAUGAUCAUUAGUCGGUGGAGAGUUCACUGACGCAGCUAACGCAUUAAAUGAUCCGCCUGAGUAGUAUGCUCGCAAGAGUGAAACUUAAAGGAAUUGACGGGGACCCGCACAAGCGGUGGAGCAUGUGGUUUAAUUUGAAGAUACACGGAGAACCUUACCCACUCUUGACAUCUUCCGCAAAGCUAUAGAGAUAUAGUGGAGGUUAACGGAAUGACAGAUGGUGCAUGGUUGUCGUCAGCUCGUGUCGUGAGAUGUUUGGUCAAGUCCUGCAACGAGCGCAACCCCUAUCUUUAGUUACUAACGAGUCAUGUCGAGGACUCUAGAGAUACUGCCUGGGUAACUGGGAGGAAGGUGGGGACGACGUCAAAUCAUCAUGCCUCUUACGAGUGGGGCAACACACGUGCUACAAUGGUCGGUACAAAGAGAAGCAAUAUGGUGACAUGGAGCAAAUCUCAAAAAGCCGAUCUCAGUUCGGAUUGGAGUCUGCAAUUCGACU